AACGAACGCUGGCGGCAUGCUUAACACAUGCAAGUCGAACGAGGGCCCCUCUUCGGAGGGUUACCCUAGUGGCGAACGGGUGAGUAACGCGUGGGGACCUGCCCCGGAGUGAGGAAUAACCGCUGGAAACGGCGGCUAAUACCGCAUAAUUCUCUGGACUUUGUUCAGAGGGAAAGGCUUCGGCCGCUCUGGGAUGGACCCGCGUCUGAUUAGCUAGUUGGUGGGGUAAAAGCCCACCAAGGCGACGAUCAGUAGCUGGUCUGAGAGGAUGAUCAGCCACACUGGGACUGAGACACGGCCCAG
rnacentral:rRNA from 1 species